CAGCAGUAGGGAAUCUUCGGCAAUGGACGGAAGUCUGACCGAGCAACGCCGCGUGAGUGAAGAAGGUUUUCGGAUCGUAAAGCUCUGUUGUAAGAGAAGAACGAGUGUGAGAGUGGAAAGUUCACACUGUGACGGUAUCUUACCAGAAAGGGACGGCUAACUACGUGCCAGCAGCCGCGGUAAUACGUAGGUCCCGAGCGUUGUCCGGAUUUAUUGGGCGUAAAGCGAGCGCAGGCGGUUAGAUAAGUCUGAAGUUAAAGGCUGUGGCUUAACCAUAGUACGCUUUGGAAACUGUUUAACUUGAGUGCAAGAGGGGAGAGUGGAAUUCCAUGUGUAGCGGUGAAAUGCGUAGAUAUAUGGAGGAACACCGGUGGCGAAAGCGGCUCUCUGGCUUGUAACUGACGCUGAGGCUCGAAAGCGUGGGGAGCAAACAGGAUUAGAUACCCUGGUAGUCCACGCCGUAAACGAUGAGUGCUAGGUGUUAGACCCUUUCCGGGGUUUAGUGCCGUAGCUAACGCAUUAAGCACUCCGCCUGGGGAGUACGACCGCAAGGUUGAAACUCAAAGGAAUUGACGGGGGCCCGCACAAG
rnacentral:rRNA from 1 species